rnacentral:misc_RNA from 1 species
UUUCCGUAGGUGAACCUGCGGAAGGAUCAUUAAAAAUUGGACUCCAUUGGUGAGUUCAUUAUAAUCCUACCUUUGUGAAUUGUUGUUUGAAUAAUUUUUUUCCAAAAAAAUUAUUGAAUGUCUUUCCUGUUUGGUGGAGCUUGUAAAGUGAACAGCAGGGAUGGCAAACAUAAUAUUUUGAAAAGACCUUUUUAAAUUAACUUUUGUAUCAUUUGUCUAAAUUAUUUUAUAAUAAAAACAACUUUGACAAUGGAUCUCUUGGUUCUCGCAACGAUGAAGAACGCAGCAAAAUGCGAUAAGUAGUGUGAAUUGCAGAAUACGUGAAUCAUCGAAUCUUCGAACGCAUAUUGCACUUUUUAGUUACUAAAAAGUAUGUCUGUUUGAGUAUCAGUAAAAUAUUCUCAUAAAAAUUUAUUUUUUAUGGUUAUGAGUGUUUACAACGAUAACAGUUGUUCACUUUAAAUCUUUGUUAUCAAAAAAUCAUUAAAAGCUAUUUAAAGAUUUUUAAAAUUGGAUAAAUUUUCCCGUAAAAGGGAAUAACUAAACAAUUUAAAAAUUAAAAUUGUUGAUUUUCUUGAUUUAAAGGGAAAAAAAAGUAAAAUUAACUUGAUCUCAAUCAGAUAAGAGUACCCGCUGAACUUAAGCAUAUCAAUAAGCGGAGGAAAGAAACUAACUAGGAUUCCUCAGUAACGGCGAGUGAAGCGGAAGAGCUCAAUUGAAUCUUCAAGGUUUACCUUGACGAUUGUAGUUUAAAGAAGUGUUUUCUGUUGGAGUUUGGUAAAAUUCUUUGGAAAGGACAUCAUAGAGGGUGAAUCCCGUAUUGACAUUAUCUCCAGCUUUGUGAUACACUUCAAAGAGUCGGAUGUUUGGAAUGCAGUCCAAAAUGGCGUAAAUUUCAUCUAAAGCUAAUACUGGCGAGAGACCGAUAGCGAACAGUACCGUGAGGAAAGAUGAAAAGAACUUUGAAAGAGAGUUAACAGUACGUGAAUUGUCAAAGGGAAGCGUUGACACCAGUGUUGUUUCUCGAAAAUCAAUUAAAAAAGGCCGGAUUUUGUGUUGUAUUGACUUUAUCAGCUUUCUGCACUUUUUCUUGUCUUUUUUAAUGCACUUUUCGUUUAACAAGUCAACAUCAAUUCUUUGUUGUAAAGGGUCAUUGGAAGUGGCUUUCUUUCGGAGAAAGUGUUUAUAGCUUGGCCUCUGCAAUCGGAGAGAUUGAGGUCUGCAGCGUAGAUCCUUCGGGUUAGAUACAUUGUGCUAAGUUAUAGCCUUUCAUAGACAACUUGUUGACUAGAUCAGUCAUGUAGCUUACUCGCUUAUG